rnacentral:misc_RNA from 1 species
UCGCGGCUUAUCACCGGCAGUCCCCUUAGAGUGCCCAACUAAAUGAUGGCAACUAAGGGCGAGGGUUGCGCUCGUUGCGGGACUUAACCCAACAUCUCACGACACGAGCUGACGACAGCCAUGCAGCACCUGUCACCGGUCCAGCCGAACUGAAGGCCUCCAUCUCUGAGGGCCGCGACCGGGAUGUCAAGGGCUGGUAAGGUUCUUCGCGUUGCUUCGAGUUAAACCACAUGCUCCACCGCUUGUGCGGGCCCCCGUCAAUUCCUUUGAGUUUCAGCCUUGCGGCCGUACUCCCCAGGCGGGGCACUUAAUGCGUUAGCUACGGCGCGGAAAACGUGGAAUGUCCCCCACACCUAGUGCCCAACGUUUACGGCAUGGACUAC